GUUUAGUUGCUGGGUAUAGACCCGAAACCAGGCGAUCUAUCCAUGAGCAGGUUGAAGGUUGGGUAACACUAACUGGAGGACCGCACCCACUGUCGUUCAAAAGCCAGGGGAUGACUUGUGGAUAGGGGUGAAAGGCCAAUCAAGCCUGGUGNUUUAGGUAGCGCCUCGGACGAAUACCAUAGGGGGUAGAGCACUGUUUCGGCUAGGGGGUCAUCCCGACUUACCAAACCGAUGCAAACUCCGAAUACCUAUGAGUACUAUCCGGGAGACAGACUGCGGGUGCUAACGUCCGUAGUCAAGAGGAAAACAAUCCAGACCGCCAGCUAAGGCCCCAAAAUCAUAGUUAAGUGGGAAACGAUGUGGGAAGGCAUAGACAGCUAG
rnacentral:rRNA from 1 species